GAGCAAGAAAAGAAGGACGAGACAAGAGCGAGCAGAGUCAACGGGAAAACCAUGGCUAAGAUGCACUGGAUAUUAUUUCUGCAUAUUCUGAUGGGUCAGUGUUGCUUCUUUACAUGCCGCCUGUAUGAGUACCACU